UGAAGAAAAGUUGAGCAUUUGUUUUUUAUUUGCAGGUCUGCCUGGCUGUGGAGGAUGAAGGUCGACAUAUAUAAGAAUUGUCCCAAAAGCGAGUGGUAAUGUUGUUCUUUUACCCUUCUCGGUCAUAGCAAUGUAGUGGGAGUUGCAAGAUUCACAUGUUUUAACUUUGUCAGAGCAUUUUGAAAAAAUGGUCUGUGGUAUCUAGAAAGCUGAUGUUGCGUGUGAAGAUUGCAAACAAGCUUUAUCCAAGGAAAUCUGGCUCUCAAAGUUCAGAGAGCGGUACCUCUUCGGUUUUCGAACAAGCAAUCCUGUUGGGGAUCUGACUCUCGAGAUUCAAAAACGGUGCCUCUUCGAUUUUUGAGAAAGCAAUCCUGUUGGGAGUCUGGCUAUCGAGAUUCGGAAAGCGGUGCCUCUUUGAUUUUUGAGCAAGUAAUCAUGUUGGGAGUCUGGCUCUCGAGAUUUGAAGAGUGGUGCCUCUUCGAUUUUUGAGCAAGUAAUCCUGUUGGGAGUUUGGCUCUCAAGAUUCGGAGAGCGGUGCCUCUUCGAUAUUUGAGCAAGCAAUCUUGUUGGGAGUGUUUUCUCGAAUGUGAGUAAAGGUUAGGCAUUUUUGCCAGUCUGCCUUACUACGGAGCACGGAGGUUGACACACACAAGGACUUUUGAGUUAUCAAGCAAUGGUGUUGUUCCUUUACCUUUGUGGGUAAUAGUAGGGUAAAAUUUAUGUGUCUAAACUUUGUCAGAGAUCUUUGGCAAAGUUAUCUGUGGUACCCGAGGAGCUGAUGUUGCGUGUGGGGAUUGUUGACAUAUUUUACUAAGGAAAAUCUGCUUCUCUAAAUCCAGAGAGUGGUUCCUCUUCUAUUUUUGAACCAACGGCCAUGUUGCCCUUUCUUUUAUAGGGGCACCAAUUGUAUGCAAGAAGUACGUUCAGAGAGUUAUUGUUUGCAAGAAUUUUCCGCUUAUUUUUGUACUUCAGAGAUUUAUUGCACCUCUUUUCUCCUUCAUCAUUUCUGAGAAUGUCUGGCCCAUCCGAUCGUUGUUUUGACUUAAACUUUGGUGAAGAGGCAGUCAUGCCUUCUUAAGACAACAUAUGGAGCCCAUCCGUCUUAUCCCUUACUAGUCAUUUUACCGUUGGGGACUCUGUGAUGAAGAAUGAUAUGACCGUUGCAGUGGUGGCCAAGAACCUUCUCACUCCCAAAGAUAACAGAUUACUUUCCAAACGGUCUGAUGAGUUGGCUGUUAAGGAUUCUCUGACUCUCAGUGUUCAGUGUGCAGGUUCUGUGUCUAAUAUGGCCCAACGCCUAUUUGCUCGAACCCGCCAAGUUGAAUCAUUGGCGGCUGAAGUGAUAAGUCUCAAACAGGAGAUCAGAGGGCUCAAGCAUGAGAAUAAACAGUUGCACAGGCUCGCACAUGACUAUGCUACAAACAUGAAGAGGAAGCUCGACCAUCUACAUGAAUCUGAUGGUCAGAUUUUACUUGAUCAUCAGAGGUUUGUGGGUUUGUUCCAAAGGCAUUUAUUGCCUUCGUCUUCUGGGGCUAUACCGCGUAAUGAAGCUCCAAAUGAUCAACCUUCGGUGCCUCCUCCUUUUGGGGUUCUGCCCAGUACUGAGGCUCCGAAUAAUCACCCUCUGGUGCCUCCUCUUUCUGGGGCUCUGCCGACUGCUGAGACUUCUCCUGAGCAACAUUUGUGAAGGCUCCCUCUUGUUUGUUUAUUUUGAUUCAUGUAUAUGUACAUAUUUUUAACUUAUCGGAGAUAUUAAUAAACAAGCUUUGCUUCAUUUCAACGUAUUAUGUUAAAUACACCAAGGCCUUCUUCACUAAGUUCUUUGAAUUUUUUUUCUUUUGUUGAAGCUUGUAUGUUGAAGCUUUGUGAAUGAAGCAUGUAUGUUGAGGUAGUGCUCCCUUAAUUUCCCGAGUGAGGAAAACUUCUCGGUUGGAGACUUGAAAAAUCCAAGUCAUUGAGUGGUCGUGAGACUUUCAAGUAUCAAAGUGCAAUAGCAUAUGGUAGGAGUCCCCUAAGUCUCCGGUCGAGGGAGUUAACGAAUGAGGCAUUUCCUUUCUAAGUGGUAGCCCAAAACUUCUCCUUCAUAUAUCUUUGUUAUGAAAGUUGUUAGGCCCAUAGAAGAGGAGGCCUAGGCAAUUUAUUUAUUUUUUCGAAUUUUUGAAUUUUUGAAUUUCUGAAAAAAAAAAAUAUAUAUAUAUAUAUAUAUUAAGCUUUGUAGGUGAAGCUUUGGUGUUGAAGCUUUGUAGGUGAAGCUUUGAGGUUGAAGCUUUGUUGGAUACCAUGAAUUGAUUUUGCUUCACACUAUCUUGAUCAAGAUAGUGUGAAGCUUUUGUGUUGAAGCUUUGUAGGUGAAGCUUUUGUGGGUGAAGCUUUUGAAGGAAAUAUUUGUAUAAACAUGUUUAUUUAAGCAACAUCUAUAGCAUGCUAUUAACAAUUAAAAGGUGGAAUCAUACUUGCAUGCACUUAAAAACAAAACAUUAACCAUGAAACUCAAAUCAAAGUGAGUUGAGAAAUUUAUACCUUUGUAGAUUCCUCUUUGCAUAAGCAAAGGCUAAUCACCCAAAGAGAGGGUCUUCAUUCCUUGCUUCUUAAAUCUAUGGAUUUGGAUGGAAGAAUAGAUUUCUCCAAGUUCCCAAAAUAGAGAACCUCUAAGUAUCUUCAUCAAGGUUAGAUUGGAGAAGAAAUGAGUGACCUUGGAGGAGUAGUAUUGCUAGCUAAUCCCUCCAAGGGGGCCGGCCUCUUUAGAGAGAAAGGGAGAGACAUGUUCUCUCCAAUUUUCUCCAAAAGAAACCCUUAAUGAAUUUAGGCUAUAAAGUCCUUUAUAUAAUCCCUUCAAAUAAGUGACCUAAAGAACCAAAAAGCCAUUCUCUCUAACAUGGCCGGCCAUAAGGGUUUUAUUGGGCUUUUGGGCCUUUGUGAAUUAAGUUGUCAUACAACUUAAGUCAAUGGGCUUGACGUUCGAAGUCCAUUGGGCCUUGAGGCCCAAAACUAACCCUUGGUCUUUUAACGAACUUUAUUCGUUUGAUUAAUUAACAUAUUAAUUAAUCCUUGCCAUAAAUUAUUAAAUAAUUAAACCAUUUAAUUAUUCUUACUCAUCUCCAUUGUUUCUUCAAUCUCCACCUUACACGAUGUACGAUCCAUUAGGUUCAUUUUAGCGAGGCAGUGGGCGAUUAAAACCAUUUCAAAUCGAUUGUGAAUUGAAACUUACUUUCAAUUCUACCUUUAGUGAUUAUACACGUUUAGGGCUUCCACAAACCAUGAGUGACACCUAGCAGCAUAUCAUGGUUACCCAAGCUAAUCAGAAGAGGUGGAGAACCUAUUCAGUUUAGGAUUACAAAUGCAAUACGGUCUUUCUCUAAUACAAUACUCUUGACCACAUUGUUUGGUUUGAUAGUUUAUUCAUGUCUACUAUCCAAUGUGAUUCGUGUGCUUAUAUGAUUACCUUGAAUAUGAUUUGGAACACCUUCCUAAAUCUCAUUCAUACUCUGAUCAGAGAUUUUCGAUCAUAUCAUAGAGUAUUCUCCCUCAAACGGUUUGAAGGUUAGAGAUCCCUUGUUGCGCAUUCAAUUGCCUCCAUGGCUAAGUGGCUUAACCCCAACGAUGCCGUGGACACCUGCGGAUGGGGUGACUUUGACAUAAUCAAAGAUCAAGGACUUAACCACAAGACAACUGUGAUGCCUCUGGUCAAAUGACUACUCUGCAUUAUCCCAACCAUGAGUUCUUAUGUGACAUGAAUAUGAGAACUCUUCGUUGAUCGUGUUCAGUGAACUCAUUCUCUAUUGAGCACCUACGUACUUGUCUUAAUGUCACACACACCAAUGACUCGAGACUAGUCACUCUCCCUGAGAGAAGACACAGCACGUACUGAUCUUAACGGACUGUCAAUGCCCAAUUGGCAAUCCUAUGAUCAGGAACGUUUAAGAUGUGUCUACGAAAGAAUGGUCUCAUGAAUCUAACUUCUUUAGAUUGCAUUCUCCCAAUCACAUAUUCCUUGGACUUAUCGUUUAAGCAUAUAACAUUUAUAUGAGACGGCUCAAACAAUAAUCUUUGCCCUUUAUAUUUAAACUACAUUUGUUUAACUUUGUGAAAUGUCCGUAAAGUAUCAUCAUAUGAUUGGUUUUAGGGCACAUUUCCAACAAUCUCCCACUUGCACUAGAGCCAAUCAGCUUGGUCAUCAGUGAUGAUACCUCUUUUUGUAGUCAUUUCAUAAAUGGCUGAGUAGUAGGCCUAGACAAUGGAUAUCUAUAUGUUAUCCAUAGAAGCAACCUUGAGAAUAACGACGUCACCAUUAUACAUGAUUCUCAAUCAUGUGGUUCAGUCUCUCAUAUGAGUUCGGAUCUUGAUGAGACCUUGAUUCCCUGGCUUGAGCUAUCACCCCAUUAGUGUCAUAAUGUCAGUACACUAGAUACACUUUUUGGUUGGAACCGAAUAGAGAGUUCAUAAAUGAACUUUCCCAUCCAAACAACAUUGUUGUAAGCUUCUAUAUGGCAAUAUAUUUUGCAUUCAUAAUGGAACACACUAAAGUCAUUACUUUAAUGUUUCCAUCCAAAUAUCAUUUUAGUCAUAAUAAAGAGAUAUCUGUUAUCUCUUCAUUCAUAAUGAAGAAACAUCCAAUGAUGAAUUAGAUUCAUAAUCUAAUACAUUUACACUUCCAUUACGUUACUCUAAUUCUUCCUCAUUCUUUGAGGAAUCUAUCCUUUAGUAUUUCUUAAAUACUUAAGGACUUACUUGACAGUUGCCAUGGUUCUGAUCCUGGGCUUGCACUGAUAUCGUCUUGUACUGUUCUAGGUACAACUCAUAUCAAUGUUUUUCAUACAAUAUGAAAUACAUAAAUCACCUUUAUGCGUAUGCAUAAAGGAUUCUAUUUACGCAUUAUUUCUUUGGGAGUCAAAGAGUACGUUCUCUUUGAGAAGAGCAACUUCUUAGUCUCACUAGAGUUGUCCUUCUAAUUGAAGUUUAUCAUCAUAUGAGAAACUUCCUAGCAUCUAUUGUCUAUUAUUAGGGAUUGAUAUAAUCCAAUUAUAUCAUGAAAUAUAUCAUUAUAGAUUUCCAUCCCAUGUAUAUAGACUAUAUCUCCCAUAUACAUUCUAUCUUCAUAUAAUGUUUUAAAGUCAUAACUUUAACAAAGAAGAAUUCUUUUCAUUUCCAAAAUUAAUAUAUCAUAUAUAUUAAAUUUUAGGAACAUGAUUAACUCCCAUAUACAUUCUAUCGUUAUAGAAUGUUUAAAGUCAUAACUUUAACGAAGAAGUAUUCUUUUCAUUUCCAAAAUUAAUAUAUCAUAUAUAUUUAAAUUUUAGGAACAUGAUUAACUCCCACUAAUCUUUUGUAAACCUAGUAAACAAAAGAUUCAUUUACAUCUUUAUGAGAAAUCAAACGAUUUGAUCCUUUUCUCAUAAGAUGCUUAUAGCUCCCACUAGCUUGCUAAGAUUCAUGAUGGAUGGAUCUCUACAACUUACAUGUCUUGUGAUUCAUAGUUUCAGACAUAUAUUAUUAAGACUAUCUUAAUAAUGGUUUCGGAAACCCAUAUUAUGUUCAAACAUUGAAUCACCAUUUAGUUGUAGCUAGCAAUCUUCGAAUUAAUUGAAACCAAGACUACGUCAAAGAUGGUUUCUUCAAAGUCAACCAUUCUUUUGAUUGUAGUUACCUUAAGCUACCAAUUAGCUUAUGAAGGUUUCAUUAUUUCGGGUCAAAUGGUACUUUACCAUUUCCUUGAGUAUAUAUCGUAUAUACACUCAAUGUAGUCAUAAGGAUUUUCAUUCUUAUUUCUUUCAAAUUAAGAGGUGCAACUCUGACAUAGUCAUAAAGUUCAAACCAUUCAACUGAGACGGUUUAUAAAUCCUUCUUGACUACCUUGGGGCUUUUGGUAUAGGAACUAGGUUGUUAUAUUUGUUGAUUAUUAUCUUGUCUCUCAAAGAACCCAUUCUUUGAGUUCUAUCUCUCGUUCAUUUGCUCUUAGGCAAAUCACAUUGUAGGAUUACAAUGAACUACCCAACAAAACAACAUUUGUUAGUUGGUUUAUAGAAGUGAUAUCCAAAAGUUAAUUUAAGGAUAUCCCACAAGAUUGUUAUCAAACAAAUAUUGCUUAUUAGCACACAACCUCAAAUCUUAACAUGCUUAAGAUUUGUCUUUCUUUUCAACUACAUCUUAUGGAGUCAUGAAAAUUUUGGAAGAUCUUCUAAUUGACAAUCAUAUUGUCUUAGAAGUAUAUAUCCUAUAUAUGGGUUAUAGAUAACAUAUAACGAACUAAAUCUUAUUCGAGUUCGUUCUUCUCCUAAUGGAGAAAUUCAUUAUCUUAUGAUGCUAUUUUCCUUGAUAUCUUUCAAGGAAACUCAUCUAAAGUGUUACUUUUCCUUGGAUCAAAUCUAAGGAGGUAAAUACUUUAGACAUCUUACUCAUCAACUUACAUUUCUUGAAUUCUUUGAAACAUUUUGCAAAGUAUUCGGACUUGUGUUUAUUCAUAAUAAACUAUAGUCCAACCGAGAGUGAUCUUCGGUGAAUGUCAUCCAACAUGAGUAGUAUUAUGUUGUGGACAAGUGCCACUAACAUCUAAGUGAAUUAACCUCAACAACUUUGUGAUUCUUUCUUCUUUCCAAAAGAAUAAAGAUUCGAACAUUUCGCCUAUACAAUUUUAACAAGAAGGUAUUGGAUCUGGAUCUAACGAUCCAAAGCAUCCAUCUAUGACCAACUCGUAAUUUAUGUUUUUAGAGGUAUCACAACUUAGUUGGGAUUAGUCACUACCUUGCAACCUUUUGGGUUUUAAGCAUCAUUAUGUUCUGAACAGUUAACACUACCAUAUCAUCUUUACUAUAGAGACAAUCAAUUAGAUUACUAUAAUCCAAUUAUUGAUUAAUAAAGAACAAUGUUUUGUCAAACAAAACAUUCAUCCAUCUCUACUAUAGUGACAGAAUUAAGUUCCUUAAAAUUGGAAUGUAAAGACAAUCUUUGGUUUUUCCAAUUUCUUUGGUAGUUCAUAUGAGGAAGUAAGUAUUAUCUGCAUUCGCAGAGAUCUAUAUUUUAUUCACGUUCCGAAUAUGAAGCAUCUUUUCUUCUCUCAUAUAUCUUCUACUUCUUAUUAGUCACACUUUUACAACGAUUGUAAAACAUAGUUACUAAUACGGAAUCAAGCAUUCAGUUUCCCCUUCAGAUCCGAGCCAGGUCCGGGUCGUCGGAUUUGCUCGAAUCCGAAAAUGUCAUACCCAUCAAGGCAAUUUCUCAUUUUCUUCAUCCAUUUAUAAUUUAUAUAUAUAUAAAGAUUGAAAAUUUAUGAGUGAUUUGAAUUUUGGGGUGUUUGAUUGUGUAGAUUCAUAGGGACCAGGAGAGUGGGAAGAUUCUGAAUUUGGUGUUUGUUUGGGCGAAUGAGGGCUCCGAGCUGAAAGUUGAUGUCUCUGUUGUUUUCAAAGGUGAAGAUGUUUGUCCUGGUCUAAAAAAAGUAAUUUAAUUUUCUUUGGCUGCACAUUGUUUGGUUUGUUUCGUAUCAUUGGUAAACAGAAGUUGCGUAUUUGAUCCCAAACCCGUAACUUUGAAGUUGGAUUGUUUAGGAAUAGGUAGAAAAUUUGGUCAUCGAUGUGAUACAUUGCUUGAUUUAAGGGUUGUUCUAUCAUCCUUUGAGCAAUUUCGUCCCAAAAUUGCAGAAGAGAGUGAAGAAAAGCAAGAGGCUCUGUUGGUGGCCACUGCUUCUCUGUUUUCUCUCUUAUUUCUGUGUGCGUGGGUGGAUAUUUACAGAAUGUGGAAGAAUGAAUUGGAAGGGGAAAGGUGGGUGAGAAUACGGAAGAGGAAGGAUGAAUUGCAAAAGUAAGUUGAUAACCACGUUGUGCGGGAAGGAAGCAACUGUCUAUCUCCUCUCGCUCUCUGGCUCAACUUGAAAGAGAAAGAAAUAAUUUAGAAAGUUGUGUAUAUUUUUUUUUAUUAUUAAUAUAUUUUUUGUCGGUUUUAUCCGACAAGAAUGCUUUUAUUUAUUCAUUAUUAAUAAAUUCUCUGUCGGUUAUAUCCGACACAAGUUCUGUCGGUUUUAGUAUUUUUUGUCGGUUUUAUCAGACAGAGAAUUAUCUGUUGGUUAUAUCCGACACAAUUUCUGUCGGUUUUAGAGUAUUUUCUAUCAGAAAAUUUAUUUCCUAACGCCGACAAUUCUGUCGCUUAUUAUAUCCGCCAUUGCAUCCAUUUUCUGUCGGAUUUUGCUUAAUAUCCGACAGUAAUACCCAUUUCUUGACGGUUUUUAUAGUGACACUAAUAAAUGAAUUUGUAGUAGUCUCUAUUGGUAUUUUGACAAAAAAACUCUAAUGGUAUUUAUUUUUGCCACGGUUUCAAGGCUUCUUUCACUUUGUAGGUAUUUUGGUAGUCUCUAUUUGUCGAACAAGUGGACAAUUACCUAACCCACUUGGGCUGUCACGGUUUGAGAAAUCACUUGGAUUGGAUGGCCCACUUGGGCUGUCAUGGUCUGAGCCAUUUGGGCUGUUACAGUUUGAGCAAUCACAUGGAUUGCAUGGUCCACUUAGGCUGUCACGGUCUGGGCCAUUUGGGCUUGUCUCUUGAUAUUCCAUCUUGGGUGUCCCUCGGAGCAGCAGGGUUGCUGUUGCUGUUGCUGUCACGGUCUUGAUUAGGCAUCCCACUUGGGCUAGCAAAAGAUUCUGCAGAGGAAAUCUUCACAAUAUCGAGCCCGCAAUAAUUGUCGAUUAAGGUUGUCUUCCCCUAAGGAGUAU
rnacentral:lncRNA from 1 species